AGUAUUAUUUGAGAAGACGACCCAGAAACAUUGCCUGCUCCAGUUUUCCUGACAAUUCCACUGCAUCUAGUUCUAAGUGGUGACAGCCAACCACGUAUGCUCCAAAGGAGGCAUUUUUUGGAAGACAAGCCUCAGAUGCAGAACGAGGAGACGCUCCAAGUGAUGGGCAUGGAAACGCUGAUAGAGAAAUAAACCGACUGCUGCCAAACCUCCGAGACCCCCAGGCCGUUUGUGACUGCAGCAGAACCGCGCAUAUCCUGACGCAGACCCCGGGCCCGGUUGCCUUUGCUUGUAUUCACACCAACCCAGAACGUUUCCGGUCCAACCGAGAACGCUUCAGGUCCUCGGUCCUCGGAGUGACCGCCCAAUGCGCAGUCAGUGCUUCUGCCCCCGUCUCUUCCCUGGGUCUCAACUUCUGCCUUGCGUGCUUGCUACUCUAAAAAUCUGAAUACAAAUUGCCGCGCCUUCAUUUUAAAACUGUUGAAUGUUGACAAAAGAAUAGUCAGUUCUGGUUUCCUAGUUUUCCCAGUUAAUGUUUCUUCACCUGUCACAUGAUAACAGACACAGAAGCGGCCUUCGGGAGGCUUGGUGUCAAAGGUCUAUCUGAGUUUCA